rnacentral:tRNA from 1 species
UAGACAGAAACUUAUUGGUUGAAGUGCUUAGCUGUUAACUAGGUAUUUGUGGGAUCGAGGCCCACCUGUUUA